rnacentral:rRNA from 1 species
UACGAAGGGGGCUAGCGUUGUUCGGAAUUACUGGGCGUAAAGCGCGCGCAGGCGGUUUCUCAAGUCAGUGGUGAAAGCCCGGAGCUCAACUCCGGAACUGCCAUUGAAACUGUGAGACUUGAGGACGAGAGAGGUGAGUGGAAUUCCCAGUGUAGAGGUGAAAUUCGUAGAUAUUGGGAAGAACACCGGUGGCGAAGGCGGCUCACUGGCCCGAUACUGACGCUGAGGCACGAAAGCGUGGGGAGCAAACAGG